rnacentral:rRNA from 1 species
GAUGAACGCUGGCGGCGUGCUUAACACAUGCAAGUCGAACGAAGCACUUUAUUUGAUUUCCUUCGGGACUGAUUAUUUUGUGACUGAGUGGCGGACGGGUGAGUAACGCGUGGGUAACCUGCCUUGUACAGGGGGAUAACAGUUGGAAACGGCUGCUAAUACCGCAUAAGCGCACAGCAUCGCAUGAGGCAGUGUGAAAAACUCCGGUGGUAUAAGAUGGACCCGCGUUGGAUUAGCUAGUUGGUGAGGUAACGGCCCACCAAGGCGACGAUCCAUAGCCGACCUGAGAGGGUGACCGGCCACAUUGGGACUGAGACACGGCCCAAACUCCUACGGGAGGCAGCAGUGGGGAAUAUUGCACAAUGGGCGAAAGCCUGAUGCAGCGACGCCGCGUGAGCGAAGAAGUAUUUCGGUAUGUAAAGCUCUAUCAGCAGGGAAGAUAAUGACGGUACCUGACUAAGAAGCACCGGCUAAAUACGUG